GAGUUUGAUCCUGGCUCAGGAUGAACGCUGGCGGCGUGCCUAAUACAUGCAAGUCGAGCGAACAGAUAAGGAGCUUGCUCCUUUGAAGUUAGCGGCGGACGGGUGAGUAACACGUGGGUAACCUACCUAUAAGACUGGGAUAACUUCGGGAAACCGGAGCUAAUACCGGAUAACAUUUAGAACCGCAUGGUUCUAAAGUGAAAGAUGGUUUUGCUAUCACUUAUAAAUGGACCCGCGCCGUAUUAGCUAGUUGGUAAGGUAACGGCUUACCAAGGCGACGAUACGUAGCCGACCUGAGAGGGUGAUCGGCCACACUGGAACUGAGACACGGUCCAGACUCCUACGGGAGGCAGCAGUAGGGAAUCUUCCGCAAUGGGCGAAAGCCUGACGGAGCAACGCCGCGUGAGUGAUGAAGGGUUUCGGCUCGUAAAACUCUGUUAUUAGGGAAGAACAAAUGUGUAAGUAACUGUGCACAUCUUGACGGUACCUAAUCAGAAAGCCACGGC
rnacentral:rRNA from 1 species